GUCUACGGCCAUACCCUGAACAAGCCUGAUGUCUGAUCUCGGAAGCUAAGCAGAGUCGGGCCUGGUUAGUACUUGGAAGGGAGACCACCUAGGAAGACCAGGUGCUGUAGGCC
rnacentral:rRNA from 1 species